rnacentral:rRNA from 1 species
UACGAAGGGGGCUAGCGUUGUUCGGAUUUACUGGGCGUAAAGCGCACGUAGGCGGAUCGUUAAGUCGGGGGUGAAAUCCUGGAGCUCAACUCCAGAACUGCCUUCGAUACUGGCGAUCUAGAGUCCGGAAGAGGUGAGUGGAACUCCUAGUGUAGAGGUGGAAUCCGUAGAUAUUAGGAAGAACACCAGUGGCGAAGGCGGCUCACUGGUCCGGUACUGACGCUGAGGUGCGAAAGCGUGGGGAGCAAACAGG